rnacentral:rRNA from 1 species
GACGAACGCUGGCGGCGUGCUUAACACAUGCAAGUCGAGCGGUAAGGCCCUUUCGGGGGUACGACGAGCGGCGAACGGGUAGAGUAACACGUGGGUGACCUGCCCUCCAGCUCUGGGAGUAAGACCCGGGAAACCGUAGGGUCUAAUACUGGAUAUUACUCUGCGGUGCAUGCCGUGGGGUGGAAAGCCUUGUGCGGCUGGGGAUGGGCCCGCGGCCUAUCAGCUUGUUGGUGGGGUGAUGGCCACCAAGGCGACGACGGGUAGCCGGCCUGAGAGGGCGACCGGCCACACUGGGACUGAGACACGGCCCAGACUCCUACGGGAGGGCAGCAGUGGGGAAUAUUGGACAAUGGGCGGCAAGCCUGAUCCAGCCAUGCCGCGUGAGUGAUGAAGGCCUC